GGUUCCAUAGUGUAGUGGUUAGCACAUCUGCUUUACACGCAGAAGGUCCUGGGUUCGUGCCCCAGUGGAGCCA
rnacentral:tRNA from 1 species